rnacentral:lncRNA from 1 species
CUCUGUUCAGUGGCUAAGUUAAAAAGAAGAAGGGGUGAACCGGAGACACCAAUCUUCCAAUUCCUUCUCUCCAAGCAUCAGGAGAUCCCCACAGGUCCCAAAUCCCCUUGGCAUCUCUUUUUCUAGGACCUUCAUCUUGGAGACUGGGACCAACAUUCAGUGAAUGCCACUGGGCCAGAAAUCUGGAUACCAUCCUGGACCUCUCAGCCUGUAUCAGACUCUUUGUCAACAGAUGUUUACUGGGCAUCUUCAACAAGGUCCCACGCCCUGUUCAUGGUGCUGAAGAGCAGCAGGCACAAAACAAAUCCUUGCCCUCACAGGUUCGGCAUCAGUGGCCUGUGGUGUGGACUCUCCCCCUGAGAAUCUGUUACCUCGGUUCCCUCCUGCCUACUAUCCCCACCCUGCUCUUCCCCUGUCUGGAAUCCUCCAUUUGGUAACCAGCAUGAUCUCACAAACCCAUUUCUACCUUUGGGAUGCUUUGCCAAAAACCUCAAAUAAA